UGCGGUUAAAAAGCUCGUAGUUGGAUCUCGGCAGGUAGGGGGCGGUUCGUUUCUGACGGCACUGCCCCUUUUACCUGUGUUUUUGCAAGAGGUCUCAAGGUGGCUUUAAUCGGCUGUCUUGGAACGCUUGCAGUUUUACUUUGAAAAAAUUAGAGUGCUCAAAGCAGGCUACAAGGCUUGAAUAUUUGUGCAUGGAAUAAUGGAAUAGGAAGUCGUUUCUAUUUUUUUGGUUUUCGGAAAUUGACCCAAUGAUUAAUAGGGACAGCCGGGGGCAUUAGUACUCAGACGACAGAGGUGAAAUUCUUGGACCGUUUGAGGACUAACUACUGCGAAAGCAUUUGCCAAGAGUGUUUUCAUUAAUCAAGAACGAAAGUUAGAGGUUCGAAGGCGAUCAGAUACCGCCCUAGUUCUAACCAUAAACAAUGCUGACUAGCGAUCCGUAGCUGUUUUCUAUGUAGGCUCUACGGGAAGCUUCCGGGAAACCAAAGUUUUUGAGUUCCGGGGGAAGUAUGGUUGC
rnacentral:rRNA from 1 species